rnacentral:SRP_RNA from 1 species
GCUGGGCGUGGUGGCUCACGCCUGUAAUCCCAGCACUUUGGGAAGCUGAGGUGGGCGGUUCACUUGAGGUCAGGAGUUUGAGACCAGCCUGGCCAACAUGGUGAAACCCCGUCUCUA